AUGGGGGCGGGGGCUUCGAGCAUGGAGGGGUCGGAGGGGUGGGGCCAGACGUCGCUGGGCGACAUGCCGGAGAGCUGCGUGGCGCCGGUGCUGCUCUACCUCGACCCGCCGGAGAUAUGCCUCGUCGCCCGCCUCAACCGCGCGUUCCGCGGCGCGGCCUCCGCCGACUGCGUCUGGGCCACCAAGCUUCCCGCCAACUACCGGUACCUCGCCGCCCUCGCCGCGGCGGCCGACGACGAUAGCAGCAGCGACGGCUCGGUGGAGGGCAAUGGUAGGUGCUCCUCCUCCGUGGCGACCAAGAAGGAGAAGUACGCGCGCCUGUGCAGGCCAACCCCCUUCGAUGGGGGCACCAAGGAAUUUUGGAUCCAAAAGAGCAAGGGUGGUCUUUGCAUGUCCAUCUCCUCGAAGGCUUUGGCGAUUACCGGCAUCGAUGAUCGGCGGUAUUGGAGCCACCUUACCACAGACGAAUCAAGAUUCCAUAGUGUUGCCUACCUUCAGCAAAUAUGGUGGCUGGAGGUGGCUGGGGAGAUUGAUUUCUGCUUCCCUGCUGGUUCAUAUAGCCUUCUCUUCCGGCUCCACUUGGGCCGGCCACACAAGCGCAUGGGCCGUCGGGUCUAUGACUCUGAGCUCAUCUACGGUUGGGACAUUAAACCGACACGGUUUCAGCUCUCAACUUCAGAUGGCCAGCACACAACAUCCGACUACCAUCUAGAUGGACCAGGACACUGGAUCCUUUACCAUGUCGGUGAUUUUGUCAUAUCGAGUUCGGAUGAGUUGACCAAGCUCAAGUUCUCUAUGAUGCAGAUUGAUUGCACGCAUACAAAAGGCGGCCUGUGUGUCGACUCUGUUUUCAUUUAUCCUAAGGAUCAUCAGCCCGAGGAGUGCAUACGCAAGUAA
rnacentral:rRNA from 1 species